rnacentral:lncRNA from 1 species
CGGUAAUUUAGUUUCCACGUAAUCACCUAUUUCCUUGUCCAGCUAGAAGAAACUUAAAGGUGUUUGGUUACAGACUUUUGUGGGAGGUUAUUAAAUCAAGUUGGCGACCUUGGUCUGAGAAGUUCUGAUCCGAGAAGCUCUGAAAACGACUUCCUGCCUCCUGACUAUUCCAAGGCGUAGCUUGGCAGUUCUUCUUUAAUGAAAUGUCUUCCUCAAACAGCUCAAACAGCUCAAAAUCAAACAGCGAAUGUAGUAGUCAUGAUAAAUCAGGAAAAGGCGGAAAAACUGGUCAAAACUGGAAGUAUAAAAUAUACUUUGACCCAGCGGCAGACACAAGAACUGGUGCAGAUUACGAGAUUGGAGACGAGCAACUCAUUGUAAAGAUGUCCCAGCUGGUAGAUGCAGCUGAAAUGAUACAAAAUGUGGACGCGUACAAAGGGCCUCUUAGCUGGAUGCAGAUUUCCAAGGCUGUAUUUUACCAUGAAUACAUAGUUUUUGAGACUAAAAACUAUCACUGGUCAAUCGAGAAGCAUUCAGAUCGUAUUACAAUUCAAAGAGCGAAACAUAGACAAAAUGUACAACAGCGGUAUAGACAUGGGUACAGGUUUGAGGGGUUUUCCGGGAUAACAUGUAUUAAAUCUGGUGUGGGUAGAAAAAGUAUAAAACAAUUGAUAGAGUGGUUGUAUAAAAACAAUGAGCUAAACAAAAGUUAUCAUUUUGCGGCAAGCAAUUGUCAAGGCUUUGCAGAGCGAGUAUAUGAUUUUGUGACUUCUUGGUAAUGAAAAGUUCAAUUGAAUUUAAAUUUAUUCAGGCAUAAGAUUAUAAAACGUAUACAGUGAAACUACAUGUAUCACUGUGUGUAUACAAUAAUCAAUAUACUUAAAAUUUUAUAAAAAAAAAUCUUAAAACAGAUAUGCUCAUUAAUGCAUGAAAUAUUAAGUAAAGUAUAUUAUAUAAUAUUAUGACAUAGAAAAAAGAUACGAUCUUAACACCUGGGAUGACCCAUUAAAGUAAAACUAAAUCACUUAUUUCCAAUGGGGUCCCAUUAGUUAGAUUUAAUGUUCAGUCUUUACAAUUAAGAUGUGUGAUAAUUGCAAAUUUUAAGCUGAGACAAAAUAAAAUCAAUCAUGAAAAUUGUAAAUAUGUAAGUCUUUAUUUUCAUUUAUUACAUUUCAGUGAAUGUUUUAACAGUGCUAUCAACACUUCUUCAUUAAGUUAAAUACAUAACAUUAUUCGUACUAGCUGAAGCGCAUUUCGUUUUCUUUAAUAUUCUUUGAAUCGACCCGCCGCAUUACCAGCGGCACUACAGUAAAACAUGGUGGAUG